CCUCUAUUUCUGACUCUGACCUCUAUACUUUCUAUUAAAGGGCUCCUGUGAUUAGAUCAGACCUACCCAGGGUAGCCCUCUUAAUUAACUUUAAGGUAGCUGAUUAAUUACACCUGCAAGUCCCUUCACUUUUUCCAUCUAAGGCAGUAUAGUCAAAAGAAUGAUAUUCUAUAUUUUUUGCCAUAUUCUAAUGGUUAGAACAAGUGAUAGGUUUCACCUACGCUAAACAUAAGGGAACUAAACAAAGCAAGGGCCACUGAAAGUCAUUUUAGAAUUCCGUGUACCACAGUAUUCUAAGAGUGUUAUAAUAAUCUCUAUUCUCCAAAAAGCAGAGACAGGCCCAUAAGUACAGAGCAUGGGCAAAAUGGCUGAAGGGGAGUGGGAGAUACAGGCUUCCAGUUACGGAGUAAAUAAGUCAUGGGGAUAAAAGGUCGUGACGUCAAUGUCGUGAGAUGGAGGCCUGCGUCAGGCUCAGCACUCAGCUUGGAGUCUGCUGGAGAUCCUCCCUCUCCCUCCCUAUGCCCAUGCUCUCUAUUUCUAAAAAUAAAGACAUAAAUAAAAUCUUUAUAAUCCAA